AUUGUCCAUGGAUUCUGGAUUAUCAAUCUGUACUGCAAUUUUUUCGAGAAAAUUCGAUGACCCUCUCCAGCGUAUGCGUGGGUGAAGUGUUUAUGGGAGGAAGAAACAAAUUGCAGUGCAGUCCUGGAAGCGGCGAAGAUCAUAGGACGAGCAGGCAGCAUAUUCAGCGCCGAGGAUCGUUAUGUGCGGCUCAGCCUCCUCAAGAGGGACGACGAUUUCGAACAGUUGCUGGCUCGGUUGAGGGAACUGGUCGCCAUUGAAGAUGGUGCGAAAACCAUGUGAAUAUAACAUUAUAAUAAGUCACAA